rnacentral:rRNA from 1 species
GUCAGAUGUGAAAGACCCGGGGCUCAACCUCGGAAUAGCAUUUGAAACUAGGCAGACUAGAGUACUGUAGAGGGGGGUAGGAAUUUCAGGUGUAGCGGUGAAAAUGCGUAGAGAUCUGAAGGAAUACCGGUGGCGAAGGCGGCCCCCUCGGACAGAUACUGACACUCAGAUGCGAAAGCGUGGGGAGCAAACAGGAUUAGAUACCCUGGUAG